rnacentral:rRNA from 1 species
GUUGGGCUGUUCGCCCAUUAAAGCGGUACGCGAGCUGGGUUUAGAACGUCGUGAGACAGUUCGGUCCCUAUCUGCCGUGGGCGCAGGAUAUUUUAGAGGAUCUGUCCCUAGUACGAGAGGACCGGGAUGGACGAACCUCUAGUGUACCAGUUGUCCCGCCAGGGGCAUUGCUGGGUAGCUAUGUUCGGAAGGGAUAAACGCUGAAUGCAUCUAAGCGUGAAACCCACCUCAAGAUGAGAUAUCCCUCCCGAUGGAGACAUCGGGACUCAAGACCCCUUGUAGAUAACGAGGUUGAUAGGCCAGGGGUGCAAGCGCAGGAAUGCGUUGAGCUUACUGGUACUAAUCGGUCGUGCGACUUGACCA